rnacentral:rRNA from 1 species
UACGGAGGGUGCGAGCGUUGUCCGGAAUCAUUGGGCGUAAAGGGCGCGUAGGUGGCCCGGUCAGUUCGUGGUGAAAGCGCGGGGCUCAACCCUGCGUCGGCCAUGAAUACUGCCGCGGCUGGAGCACUGUAGAGGCAGGCGGAAUUCCGGGUGUAGCGGUGGAAUGCGUAGAGAUCCGGAAGAACACCGGUGGCGAAGGCGGCCGCU